UGACAGAAGAUAGACAGCUGUAUCUGCCAGAGGACAUCCCAUCAAGCUGAGCAUGAAUGCACCUGUAAAAUUACACUUGCUAGAAGGCAGCUUACUAACAAGAUGGACGACCCAGAGCUGAUGUUUUCCUGGACCUGUGCCCUACAACUCCAAGGAAGAAGAAACACAGUAUCUACAGAAAGAUCAGCUUGUCAAAUAAUUUGCUUAUUAAAAAUGAACAAAACAAGCAAAAAAUCGACAAUUUUCUGGUCAGAAUCACCUCGGAUGUACAUAUCAGCUUGAAAUGGAGUAAAACCUUUAGGCAUGUACAACAGAAACAAGCCUGUAUUUCUAGACUAUGUUAAGCGACUAAUAUAUUUUCUGAGCGUAAUUUGUGUAUUUGUUUGCCUG